CUUAACCCACUGAGCAGCAAGUCUUGCUGCCGUAUACACCAACUGUUCCAGUAUGUUCUUUUUCUACAAUACAUUGCAAAGCAGCUGUUUCUGGAAAGUCGGCUCGGGUCCUGCUAGCUCCACCUUGAGAACACUGGGAGUAUGGGCUUACAGCAGAAGAGGAAAGUGGUGAGGUCACCAGCCGAGGAGUGGAUGGGGAGAAGAGAGAGAGAACGGAAACUCAUUGAGAAAUACAUUGUGUCAGCUGGGAAACUGGACAGGGUCAUUGGCCACCAGGCCACGAGGACAAAGGGAGCAGAAUCGAUGAACAGGAUUUCAGAUGGCCGGAAAAGAAAAAAAGCAGGAAGUAACACAACAAGCUCAGAAGAAAGCCUCGCCAACAGAUGGAAUGAAAUGGAAGAGAAAAUAUCAAGUCUUGAAGACAAAGUAGAAGAAAUGGAUCGAUCAUCCAAAGACUAUGUGAACUAUAAAUUAAAAAUCUAGGCAUUCAGGGAAUCUGGGACAGUAUGAAGAGACCAAAUCUAUGAAUAAUUGAUAUAGAGGAAGGAGAAGAAACUCAAGUGAAAGCCACAGAAAAUAUCUUUUAACAAAAAUCAUAGAAAAAAAAAUUUCAAAUCUA
rnacentral:lncRNA from 1 species